GAUUAACGCUGGCGGCGUGCCUAAUGCAUGCAAGUCGAACGUGGUCCCUUUGGGGGCAAACGUGGCGGACGGGUGAGGAACACGUGGGGGACCUGCCCAUUGGCGGGGGGCAGCCCGCGGAAACGCGGGGUAAUUCCGCAUACGCCGGCCGGAGGGUAGCUUCGGUCAGGAAAGGGUCGGUUACGACUCGCCGAUGGAGGGGCCUGCGUCCGAUUAGCUGGUUGGUGGGGUAACGGCCUACCAAGGCGGUGAUCGGUAGCUGGUCUGAGAGGACGGCCAGCCACAGGGGAACUGAGACACGGUCCCCACUCCUACGGGAGGCAGCAGCAAGGAGUUUUCCGCAAUGGGCGCAAGCCUGACGGAGCAACGCCGCGUGGGGGAUGACGCCCUUCGGGGUGUAAACCCCUUUUCUUGGGGACGAAGCAGUGACGGUACCCGAGGAAGAAGGCCCGGCUAACUACGUGCCAGCAGCCGCCGCGGUAA
rnacentral:rRNA from 1 species